rnacentral:rRNA from 1 species
AUUGAACGCUGGCGGAAUGCUUUACACAUGCAAGUCGAGCGGCAGCGCGGGGCAACCUGGCGGCGAGCGGCGAACGGGUGAGUAAUGCAUCGGAACAUGUCCAUUCGUGGGGGAUAGCCCGGCGAAAGCCGGAUUAAUACCGCAUACGCCCCGAGGGGGAAAGGCGGGGACCGUCGCAAGAGGCCUCGCGCGAAUGGGUUGGCCGAUGUCCGAUUAGCUAGUUGGUGAGGUAAAGGCUCACCAAGGCGAUGAUCGGUAGCUGGUCUGAGAGGAUGAUCAGCCACACUGGGACUGAGACACGGCCCAGACUCCUACGGGAGGCAGCAGUGGGGAAUUUUGGACAAUGGGGGAAACCCUGAUCCAGCCAUUCCGCGUGAGUGAAGAAGGCC